ACGGCCGCAAGGUUAAAACUCAAAUGAAUUGACGGGGGCCCGCACAAGCGGUGGAGCAUGUGGUUUAAUUCGAUGCAACGCGAAGAACCUUACCUGGUCUUGACAUCCACGGAAGUUUUCAGAGAUGAGAAUGUGCCUUCGGGAACCGUGAGACAGGUGCUGCAUGGCUGUCGUCAGCUCGUGUUGUGAAAUGUUGGGUUAAGUCCCGCAACGAGCGCAACCCUUAUCCUUUGUUGCCAGCGGUCCGGCCGGGAACUCAAAGGAGACUGCCAGUGAUAAACUGGAGGAAGGUGGGGAUGACGUCAAGUCAUCAUGGCCCUUACGACCAGGGCUACACACGUGCUACAAUGGCGCAUACAAAGAGAAGCGACCUCGCGAGAGCAAGCGGACCUCAUAAAGUGCGUCGUAGUCCGGAUUGGAGUCUGCAACUCGACUCCAUGAAGUCGGAAUCGCUAGUAAUCGUGGAUCAGAAUGCCACGGUGAAUACGUUCCCGGGCCUUGUACACACCGCCCGUCACACCAUGGGAGUGGGUUGCAAAAGAAGUAGGUAGCUUAACCUUCGGGAGGGCGCUUACCACUUUGUGAUUCAUGA
rnacentral:rRNA from 1 species